rnacentral:rRNA from 1 species
UACGUAGGGGGCUAGCGUUGUCCGGAUUUAUUGGGCGUAAAGAGCUCGUAGGUGGUUCGGUAAGUCGGAUGUGAAAUCUCCAGGCUCAACCUGGAGGGGUCAUUCGAUACUGCCGUGACUAGAGUCCGGAAGAGGAGAGUGGAAUUCCUGGUGUAGCGGUGAAAUGCGCAGAUAUCAGGAGGAACACCAAUUGCGAAGGCAGCUCGCUGGGACGUGACUGACGCUGAGACGCGAAAGCGUGGGUAGCAAACAGG